GCCGCUAUAGCUCAGGGGCUAGAGCGUUGGUCUCUCGUAAACCAAAGGUCGUCGAGUUCAAAUCUCGUUGGCGGCA